UCACAAGUUCAAAGCCAUAGCACAAGUGCUCAUGGCAUGGCCCUGUCAGAUUUCAACAAAACUGCAAAUUCUGCU
rnacentral:lncRNA from 1 species